AGAACGAACGCUGGCGGCAUGCCUAACACAUGCAAGUCGAACGAGACCUUCGGGUCUAGUGGCGCACGGGUGCGUAACGCGUGGGAAUCUGCCCUUGGGUUCGGAAUAACAGUUGGAAACGACUGCUAAUACCGGAUGAUGACGUAAGUCCAAAGAUUUAUCGCCCAGGGAUGAGCCCGCGUAGGAUUAGCUAGUUGGUGAGGUAAAGGCUCACCAAGGCGACGAUCCUUAGCUGGUCUGAGAGGAUGAUCAGCCACACUGGGACUGAGACACGGCCCAGACUCCUACGGGAGGCAGCAGGUGGGAAUAGUUGGACAAGUGGGACGAAAGCCUGAUCCAGCAAUGCCGCGUGAGUGAUGAAGGUCUUACGGGUUGUAAAGUCGUUCGUUUUACCCGGGAUUGAAUAAGUGAAC
rnacentral:rRNA from 1 species